CCUACGGGAGGCAGCAGUGAGGAAUAUUGGUCAAUGGCCGUAAGGCUGAACCAGCAAAGUAGCGUGAGGGAUGACUGCCCUAUGGGUUGUAAAUCUCUUUUUUGCGGGGAUAAAGGUGUCCACGUGAGGAUUUUUGCAGGUACAGCAUGAUUAAGGACCGGCUAAUGACGUGCCAGCAGCCGCGGUAAUACGGAAGGACCGGGCGUUAUCCGGAUUUAUUGGGUUUAAAGGGGUCGUAGGUCGGUCUUUAAGCGUUACGUGAAAUUGUGUGUCUCAACCAUGAGAGUACGGCGCGAACUGGAGACCUUGAGAGCGCUGAAGGCAAGCGGAAUUCGUGGUGUAGGGGUGAAAUGCUUAGAUAUCACGAAGAACCCCGAUUGCGAAGGCAGGCUGCCGCAGCGUUACUGACGCUGAGGCUCGAAAGCGCGGGUAUCGAACAGGAUUAGAUACCCCUGUAGUC
rnacentral:rRNA from 1 species